rnacentral:rRNA from 1 species
UACAGAGGGUGCGAGCGUUAAUCGGAAUUACUGGGCGUAAAGCGCACGUAGGUGGCGAUGUAAGUCGGGUGUGAAAGCCCCGGGCUCAACCUGGGAAUUGCAUUCGAGACUGCAUUGCUGGAGUACGGAAGAGGAAGGCGGAAUUCCCGGUGUAGCGGUGAAAUGCGUAGAUAUCGGGAGGAACAUCAGUGGCGAAGGCGGCCUUCUGGUCCAGUACUGACACUCAAGUGCGAAAGCGUGGGGAGCAAACAGG